UUACGGUCAAAUCACGCUGAAACACCGGUUCUCGUUCGAUCACCGAAGUUAAGCAUCGUAGAGCCAGGUCAGUACUUAGAUGGGGACCGCUUGGGAACACCUGGUACUGUAAG